rnacentral:ncRNA from 1 species
CCUACGAAGCUUUACUGUUCCCUGGGAUUGGCUUCGGGCCUUUCCUGUGCAGCUUAGGUGGAAGGCGAAGAAGGCCCCUUCUGAGGGGGGCCCGAGCCAUCAGUGAGAUACCACUCUGGAAGAGCUCAGAUUCUAACCUUGUGUCAGAUCCGCGGGCCAAGGGACAGUCUCAGGUAGACAGUUGCUAUAGGGCAUAGGCCUCCCAAAAGGUAACGGAGGCAUGCAAAGGUUUCCUCGAGCCAGACAUUGGUCCUCGAGUGCAAAGGCAGAAGGGAGCUUGACUGCAAGACUCACCCAUCGAGCAGAGACGAAAGUCGUUGACAAUGUCUAUGCUGGUUCAAAUCCAGCUCGGCCCAAACCAAAAAUCUAGG